CCUAACUUGCCUGCCAGCGGCCAGGGUCUGGGGAUUUCCUAGGCCCGUGCUUCUGUUGCCAGCCCUGUGGCUCCUGUGGGUGACGACACCCCAAGACGCUGAGGCUGGGCCUGGGGGCGGCGGGCCGCCAGGGAUUCCAGCCAAGGACCCUAGGCAGGGUCAGAAGGUCCAGCAGUCGCCGCUGCCUCCCUGAAGCCUAUGGAAAUCCAGCCUCCUUUUGUGUGCGAGAAGGUUGUUGGGGUCUGGGGAACAGAAGGGGUGCAAGGCCCCUACUGCUGCGUGCCGCCCUAAGGGGGGGCUUUGGUGGGAGCUGCUCCUGCCCCCUCAUUAGUCCCAGAGCCUACAGAUCUUCCCUACCUUCGGGAAGGAGUCGCAAGACCCAAAGGUGGAGGCGGCGGCAGCAACUCAGCAGCCGCCCAGAAGUGGGAGUCAGACCUGCGGCUCCAACGCAAAAACGCUGGACAAGGACCCCGGGCCGUAGAUUCGCUCCUGUGAGUUUGGGGAAGACACUCCAGGGCAGCGCUCCACCGGCCCUGACCUGGCACCGCGCCUUGGCUCCCGGGAUCCGGACCCGCCCAGCGGCAGAAAGGUCAUGAUCUCGGGGUCCCGGGAUGGAGCCCAAGCCCGGAGUGGGGCUCCCUGCUCAGUGAAUGCACCUAUCACGUUUACGUGUCCUCGUGAUGGGUACCUAGGAUGCUGCUGAUUGCUCUGUUGUCGCCAACAACACUCAUUUGUCCCCUCACGGAGUCCAGAUUGAGUUGCUCUGAGGCACAUGGCCAAGAGGCAAUGAUGAUAUAAGACAAGAUUUUAUUUUUAAGUAAUCUCUACACCCAGCGUGGGGCUCGAAAAUCACAACCCUGAGAUCAAGAGUCACACACCCCACCGACUGAGCCAGCCAGGUGCCCCUAAGCCAGUGCUGCUUUGAUCGGACCGACUCGUUUUGGACCCUGCCUGCGCUAGAACUUCACGGGACAGAAAGCACUUGGUCCUUCGGUUCUUCCCCACCAGUUUUUGCCCAUGAAGAGAGGAUGAUAUGUGUGUGACAGACACCAAGGCCACUGCCCCCCGACAGCUACGUGUGAUACACCCCACUGGUGGGGUGUACCCGGCCCGUGUUAUCUUCCCUAAGAGCUGCCUACCAAGCCCCUCCGUGCUGAGGAGGGGGCCCUGCUGGGUGGCCACUCACCCAUGGGAUGCUUUACUAAGAAUUAGGGAAAAAGUGCCCCUUUCUCAAUACACUUUAUUGCCAUCUGCCAAAAUAGUUUCAUGAUGAAUGUGCAUAUUUACAAGGUCUGUAGUGUGGAUGGGAGCCCUUGGAGUCCUGCACUGCACCGUCGGCCGGACCGUGUGGGGGUCUGCGUCCUGUCAGCCUCUCCUGUGAGCCUUGUCAGCAUCGUGUUCCUCUGCCUUCUUCUGGAGCCAGGCUGCCGGGCCAACCUAACUUAAGCUGGCCAGUCAGAUUGGUUCUCGCAGAAAUUUAAAGUUGGGAUGCAGAGCUCUAGUUUGUCAGUAUUGAACUGGGAGAAAAUGCCGAGUCCUGGCUGGGAUAGCCAUUUCCUGACAUGUGUCCAUUAGAAUCCCUGACGGCAAGCAACAGAAACCAACUUAAAGAGCUAACUGAGCUUAAACAAGAUGAGAUGUGUUUGUUGGAAGGAGUCUGGGAAAGCCAGAGAACCCAAAGGCCAGGCAGGAGGAAUAGGAAUAGCUUCACACCAGAGCAAUCUGGUCAGUGACCCACUGCCCGGAGGAGGAGGGGAUGGGAAAGGUGGGACAUGGAUGAUGGUGGACACUGACAUGGACAAGGAACUUCUGUCCAUUUCCUCCUUCCUGUCUCUCCAUUAGGACUCAAAGCCUUGGGCGAGAGCAUUUGAUCAGCCAUGCAGUGAUGAUGAGAGGAGGGCUCUGUGGGGUGCUCCGAUGGGAUGGGGGGACCACCAAAUGGGGAGCAUCCCAAUCAGGUGGGGGCCAGCAGUGCAGGCGGUAGAAGAAUUCACCCAAGGCAGAACAAAGGAGAUAGAGGUUUAUUAAAUACAACGCAAGGGAGCGGAGGGCAGGACAGCAAAGGAGAGACUGUGUGCCACCAGGUGGUGGUGGGACCACAGUUACAGGGCAGAGUGGGGAGUAUGGGGGACGUAUGCAAUUUCCCCUUUUUUGGCAAUCUAGGGUACUGUGCCUGAUCGUAAUUGGUCAGUUAGGGCCUGUGGUUAUUUCGAGGUGGGUCCUGUAAUGAGCCUGUGUGCAUUCAGCUCGGGGCUUGCUGUGGGCUCUUUUCCCUUCGUCAAGUUUCCAUGGCUCAAGCCUGUGGCCUAAAAGCAGCUUCCUCAGGCUCCAUCCCUCUGUUGUUCUCUUCUUUUUUUUUUUUUUUUUUAAAGA